AGACCCGAAACCCGGUGAUCUAGCCAUGGGCAGGUUGAAGGUUGGGUAACACUAACUGGAGGACCGAACCGACUAAUGUUGAAAAAUUAGCGGAUGACCUGUGGCUGGGGGUGAAAGGCCAAUCAAACCGGGAGAUAGCUGGUUCUCCCCGAAAGCUAUUUAGGUAGCGCCUCGUGAAUUCAUCUCCGGGGGUAGAGCACUGUUUCGGCUAGGGGGCCAUCCCGGCUUACCAACCCGAUGCAAACUGCGAAUACCGGAGAAUGUUAUCACGGGAGACACACGGCGGGUGCUAACGUCCGUCGUGAAGAGGGAAACAACCCAGACCGCCAGCUAAGGUCCCAAAGUCAUGGUUAAGUGGGAAACGAUGUGGGAAGGCCCAGACAGCCAGGAUGUUGGCUUAGAAGCAGCCAUCAUUUAAAGAAAGCGUAAUAGCUCACUGGUCGAGUCGGCCUGCGCGGAAGAUGUAACGGGGCUAAACCAUGCACCGAAGCUGCGGCAGCGACACUGUGUGUUGUUGGGUAGGGGAGCGUUCUGUAAGCCUGUGAAGGUGUGUCGUGAGGCAUGCUGGAGGUAUCAGAAGUGCGAAUGCUGACAUAAGUAACGAUAAAGCGGGUGAAAAGCCCGCUCGCCGGAAGACCAAGGGUUCCUGUCCAACGUUAAUCGGGGCAGGGUGAGUCGACCCCUAAGGCGAGGCCGAAAGGCGUAGUCGAUGGGAAACGGGUUAAUAUUCCCGUACUUGGUGUUACUGCGAAGGGGGGACGGAGAAGGCUAUGUUGGCCGGGCGACGGUUGUCCCGGUUUAAGCGUGUAGGUGUGUGUUCCAGGUAAAUCCGGUUCACUUUAACACUGAGGCGUGACGACGAGGCACUACGGUGCUGAAGCAACAAAUGCCCUGCUUCCAGGAAAAGCCUCUAAGCAUCAGGUAACAUCAAAUCGUACCCCAAACCGACACAGGUGGUCAGGUAGAGAAUACCAAGGCGCUUGAGAGAACUCGGGUGAAGGAACUAGGCAAAAUGGUGCCGUAACUUCGGGAGAAGGCACGCUGACACGUAGGUGAAGUGAUUUACUCAUGGAGCUGAAGUCAGUCGAAGAUACCAGCUGGCUGCAACUGUUUAUUAAAAACACAGCACUGUGCAAACACGAAAGUGGACGUAUACGGUGUGACGCCUGCCCGGUGCCGGAAGGUUAAUUGAUGGGGUCAGCGCAAGCGAAGCUCCUGAUCGAAGCCCCGGUAAACGGCGGCCGUAACUAUAACGGUCCUAAGGUAGCGAAAUUCCUUGUCGGGUAAGUUCCGACCUGCACGAAUGGCGUAAUGAUGGCCAGGCUGUCUCCACCCGAGACUCAGUGAAAUUGAACUCGCUGUGAAGAUGCAGUGUACCCGCGGCAAGACGGAAAGACCCCGUGAACCUUUACUAUAGCUUGACACUGAACAUUGAGCCUUGAUGUGUAGGAUAGGUGGGAGGCUUUGAAGUGUGGACGCCAGUCUGCAUGGAGCCGACCUUGAAAUACCACCCUUUAAUGUUUGAUGUUCUAACGUGGACCCGUUACCCGGGUUGCGGACAGUGUCUGGUGGGUAGUUUGACUGGGGCGGUCUCCUCCUAAAGAGUAACGGAGGAGCACGAAGGUUGGCUAAUCCUGGUCGGACAUCAGGAGGUUAGUGCAAUGGCAUAAGCCAGCUUGACUGCGAGCGUGACGGCGCGAGCAGGUGCGAAAGCAGGUCAUAGUGAUCCGGUGGUUCUGAAUGGAAGGGCCAUCGCUCAACGGAUAAAAGGUACUCCGGGGAUAACAGGCUGAUACCGCCCAAGAGUUCAUAUCGACGGCGGUGUUUGGCACCUCGAUGUCGGCUCAUCACAUCCUGGGGCUGAAGUAGGUCCCAAGGGUAUGGCUGUUCGCCAUUUAAAGUGGUACGCGAGCUGGGUUUAGAACGUCGUGAGACAGUUCGGUCCCUAUCUGCCGUGGGCGCUGGAGAACUGAGGGGGGCUGCUCCUAGUACGAGAGGACCGGAGUGGACGCAUCACUGGUGUUCGGGUUGUCAUGCCAAUGGCACUGCCCGGUAGCUAAAUGCGGAAGAGAUAAGUGCUGAAAGCAUCUAAGCACGAAACUUGCCCCGAGAUGAGUUCUCCCUGAGACUUAAAGUCUCCUGAAGGAACGUUGA
rnacentral:rRNA from 1 species